UACGAAGGGGGCUAGCGUUGCUCGGAAUGACUGGGCGUAAAGGGCGCGUAGGCGGCGGCCACAGUCAGAUGUGAAAUUCCUGGGCUUAACCUGGGGGCUGCAUUUGAUACGUGGUUGCUUGAGUGGGGAAGAGGGUCGUGGAAUUCCCAGUGUAGAGGUGAAAUUCGUAGAUAUUGGGAAGAACACCGGUGGCGAAGGCGGCUCACUGGCUCGUAACUGACGCUCAUGCACGACAGCGUGGGGAUCAAACAGG
rnacentral:rRNA from 1 species